rnacentral:rRNA from 1 species
UACAGAGGUGGCAAGCGUUGUUCGGAAUUACUGGGCGUAAAGGGCGCGUAGGCGGCCUUCUAAGUCAGACGUGAAAUCCCCCGGCUUAACCUGGGAACUGCGUCUGAUACUGGAGGGCUUGAGUGCGGGAGAGGGAUGUGGAAUUCCAGGUGUAGCGGUGAAAUGCGUAGAUAUCUGGAGGAACACCGGUGGCGAAGGCGGGUCUCUGGGCCGAUACUGACGCUGAGGAGCGAAAGCGUGGGGAGCGAACAGG